UACAAUCUGCAGGCAGUGAAGCCAGAUAGGCUUGUGUCCUUCCCUUCAAGGUGGAGAGUUUCUCCCAUUCCUGGGCAGGUCAAGAGAUGCUUCUGGAAGCCAGGGUCUGGAGGUGGAAACCUCAGGAAUCUACCUGCUGCUCUACUCUACUGCAGGAGUCCCCAACCCCCAGGCUGCAGACCAUUAGGAACUGGGCCGCACAGCAGGAGGGUCAACCAAUAGAAGAGCCAAAGGUCAGUUCCAAUUACCUCCUUGAUUUUUCUAUAGAAUAAAUAGGAGACUUCCUGUAAAAAUUCUUUAAACUGAUUCAACAAAAAUAAAUAAAUAAAUAAAGAUAAUAUAGUCAG